rnacentral:rRNA from 1 species
GUGCCAGCAGCCGCGGUAAGACGAAGGAUGCAAGCGUUAUCCGGAAUUACUGGGCGUAAAGGGUGUCUAGGCGGUUGAGUAAGUCUCCUGUGAAAGCCCUCAGCUUAACUGAGGAACGUCAGGUGAAACUGCUUGGCUUGGGUGUAGGAGAGGAGAGUGGAACUCACAGAGUAGCGGUGGAAUGCGUAGAUACUGUGAGGUACCCCGAUGGCGAAGGCAACUCUCUGGCCUACUACCGACGCUGAAGCACGAAAGCGUGGGUAGCAAAGGGGAUUAGAUACCCCCGUAGUCCACGCCCUAAACGAUGUUCACUUGGUGUCGGUCGCAUAUACAGAUCGGUGCCGGAGCUAACGCGUUAAGUGAACCGCCUGGGGAGUACGGUCGCAAGGCUAAAACUCAAGAGAAUUGACGGGUCCCCGCACAAGCGGGGGAGCACGUGGUUUAAUUCGAUGAUAAGCGAAGAACCUCACCUGGGCUUGACAUGCUAGUAGUAGGAACCGGAAACGGUACCGACCUUGCCUUCGGGUAGGGAACUAGUACAGGUGAUGCAUGGCUGUCGUCCACUCG